rnacentral:rRNA from 1 species
AAUGAACGCUGGCGGCGCGCCUAAUACAUGCAAGUCGAGCGAGAAGACGUAGCAAUACGUUUGUAAAGCGGCGAACGGGGUGAGGAAUACAUGGGUAACCUACCCUCGAGUGGGGAAUAACUAGCCGAAAGGUUAGCUAAUACCGCGUACGCUUCUUGGACUUCGGUUCAGGGAGGAAAGCGAUGCCGAGGGUAUCGCGCUCUUGGAUGGGCUCAUGUCCUAUCAGCUUGNGGUGAGGUAACGGCUCACCAAGGCUUCGACGGGUAGCUGGUCUGAGAGGACGAUCAGCCACACUGGCACUGCGACACGGGCCAGACUCC